CGCCUCUUGCACCUAUAUAAGAGGUCCAGCCUGCCCAGUGACUAAGUUCAACGGCCGCGGUAUCCUAACCGUGCGAAGGUAGCGUAAUCACUUGUUCUUUAAAUGAGGACUAGUAUGAAUGGCACCACGAAGGUUAUGCUGUCUCCUUUUUCUAAUCAAUGAAACUGAUCUCCCCGUGAAGAAGCGGGGAUACAACUAUAAGACGAGAAGACCCUAUGGAGCUUUAAACCAUGUAACACUGGCUCAUACAUUAAAAUAUUCCAGAAUUUUUCAUAAUUACUCUAGCCACCAUGAUUACUAGUUUUAGGUUGGGGUGACCACGGAGCAAAAAUUAACCUCCAUGUUAAACGGAGCUACUCCUGAGCCAAAAGCCACGACUUUAAGCACUAAUAAAUUAAUAUUAAUUGACCCAAUACUUUUGAUCAACGAACCAAGUUACCCUAGGGAUAACAGCGCA
rnacentral:rRNA from 1 species